rnacentral:rRNA from 1 species
UCGGGAAUUUUGGGCAAUGGGCGAAAGCCUGACCCAGCAACGCCGCGUGAGGGAUGAAGUAUUUCGGUAUGUAAACCUCGAAAGAAUGGGAAGAAUAAAUGACGGUACCAUUUAUAAGCUCCGGCUAACUACGUGCCAGCAGCCGCGGUAAUACGUAGGGAGUAAGCGUUGUUCGGAUUUACUGGGCGUAAAGGGCGCGUAGGCGGCGCGGUAAGUCACUUGUGAAAUCUCUGAGCUUAACUCAGAACGGCCAAGUGAUACUGCUGUGCUAGAGUGCGGAAGAGGCAACCGGAAUUCUUGGUGUAGCGGUGAAAUGCGUAGAUAUCAAGAGGAACACCUGAGGCGAAGGCGGGUUGCUGGGCCGACACUGACGCUGAUGCGCGAAAGCCAGGGGAGCAAACG